GGCGGGCGGGUGAGUAACGCGUGGGAACAUACCCUUUGGUACGGAAUAGCCUCGGGAAACUGAGAGUAAUACCGUAUGUGCCCUUCGGGGGAAAGAUUUAUCGCCAAAGGAUUGGCCCGCGUUGGAUUAGGUAGUUGGUGGGGUAAUGGCCUACCAAGCCGACGAUCCAUAGCUGGUUUGAGAGGAUGAUCAGCCACACUGGGACUGAGACACGGCCCAGACUCCUACGGGAGGCAGCAGUGGGGAAUCUUAGACAAUGGGGGAAACCCUGAUCUAGCCAUGCCGCGUGAUCGAUGAAGGCCUUAGGGUUGUAAAGAUCUUUCAGAUGGGAAGAUAAUGACGGUACCAUCAGAAGAAGCCCCGGCUAACUCCGUGCCAGCAGUCGCGGUAAUACGGAGGGGGCUAGCCGUUAUUCGGAAUUACUGGGCGUAAAGCGCACGUACGCGGAUCAGAAAGUCAGAGGUGAAAUCCC
rnacentral:rRNA from 1 species